rnacentral:rRNA from 1 species
UACGUAGGGGGCAAGCGUUGUCCGGAUUUACUGGGCGUAAAGAGCGUGUAGGCGGCCACGCAGGUCCGUUGUGAAAACUGGAGGCUCAACCUCCAGCUGUCGACGGAAACCGUAUGGCUAGAGUCCGGAAGAGGAGAGUGGAAUUCCUAGUGUAGAGGUGAAAAUUCGUAGAUAUUAGGAAGAACACCAGUGGCGAAAGGCGGCUCACUGGCCCGGUACUGACGCUGAGGCGCGAAAGCGUGGGGAGCAAACAGG